GGCAAGGUGGUUGAGAUUUAGACGAUAGACUGUAAAUCUAUGAACGGGGGUGACCCCCCCCCUUUCCA
rnacentral:tRNA from 1 species